rnacentral:rRNA from 1 species
CAGCAGCCGCGGUAAUACGUAGGUCCCGAGCGUUGUCCGGAUUUAUUGGGCGUAAAGCGAGCGCAGGCGGUUAGAUAAGUCUGAAGUUAAAGGCUGUGGCUUAACCAUAGUACGCUUUGGAAACUGUUUAACUUGAGUGCAAGAGGGGAGAGUGGAAUUCCAUGUGUAGCGGUGAAAUGCGUAGAUAUAUGGAGGAACACCGGUGGCGAAAGCGGCUCUCUGGCUUGUAACUGACGCUGAGGCUCGAAAGCGUGGGGAGCAAACAGGAUUAGAUACCCCUGUAGUCCCUGUCUCUUAUACC